UCACAUGUGUUCACACACUCACUCAUGUGCACACACACAUAUACACACUAGUGCACACACCACCUCUCAUGCACACACACAUGCACUCAUGUGCUCACACACAUACAUGGUAGUAAAAGAAAUACAUCACCUAUUUCUUGUAAAGAACAAAACACCCCAAAAAUGCAGCAAAAGAAAAAAUAGAGGGAAAAAAUAACAC
rnacentral:lncRNA from 1 species